rnacentral:rRNA from 1 species
GGAUUCCCUAGUCACUGCGAGUGAAGCGGGAAAAGCUCAAAUUUAAAAUCUGGCGGUCCCUGUGGUCGUCCGAGUUGUAAUUUAAGAAGCGUUAUCCGCGCUGGACCGUACACAAGUCUCCUGGAAUGGAGCGUCAUAGAGGGUGAGAAUCCCGUCUUUGGUACGGACUGCCAGGGCAUUGUGAUGCGCUCUCAAAGAGUCGAGUUGUUUGGGAAUGCAGCUCAAAAUGGGUGGUAAAUUCCAUCUAAAGCUAAAUAUUGAGGAGAGACCGAUAGCGAACAAGUACCGUGAGGGAAAGAUGAAAAGAACUUUGGAAAGAGAGUUAAACAGUACGUGAAAUUGCUGAAAGGGAAACGCUUGAAGUCAGUCGCGUCGUCCAGGACUCAGCCUUGCUUUUGCUUGGUGUACUUCUUGUUCGACGGGUCAACAUCAAUUUUGGUCGGUGGAUAAAGGCUUGGAGAAUGUGGCAUCCUCGGAUGUGUUAUAGCUCUAGGUCGCAUACAUCGGCUGGGAUUGAGGAACUCAGCACGCCGCAAGGCCGGGUACUUGUACCACGUACGUGCUUAGGAUGUUGGCAUAAUGGCUUUAAUCGACCCGUCU